AGAAAGAUAAAAUAUUGCUGCUGUUAUUUAGGAAAGUUACUUAAACAAAUUUCAAUUUUUUCCAGUCCUUUUCCAUCAAGGUAGCAAAGAAGAGAUUCAGAUUCCACUAAUGGAAAGUUUCAGAACAAAAGCAAACAGAAGAUCUUGCCAUAGUUUUCUCAAAAAUGAGACAGAACAUUUUCAUUACUCCUGAGUGACAUUUACUCAGAACAUGCAAAAGGUGAGAUUGAGAAGGUGAUGAAAGAAGCAACACAGCUAGAGUCCUGUCUUCACGUUGUGAAGUAAAGAAGCAAUCUUCCAUCACAGAUGAACUUAUUCUUUUACAGAUGAUGGUGCUUUUUUACCCUUUGCAUUGCCUGCCUUUCUCCAAGACUAAUGCCACCUGCAGCAGCUUUACCAUGAUGACAUUUCUUAGAAGGUGUUAACACUGUCCAAUAUAUCUAGCUACAACCAGCUCUCUGUAUGUACUGCUGGUCAUGGCUUUUCCUGGUGUGUGACAAUCCAGGCUUUCUCAUUGGAGAACCGUCAAGAAUCUACUUCUCUGAAUGUUUAUGAACACAUGGUGGAACAGCUCCAGCAAGAGAUUGAGCAAGAGCUUCCCCGUGGAAAGAAAACAUGCCCUGGAUCAGGUUGCUCAGCCACGCCAUCUCAGCUCUUUAUGACUCACUGA
rnacentral:lncRNA from 1 species